UACGUAGGGUGCAAGCGUUGUCCGGAAUUAUUGGGCGUAAAGAGCUCGUAGGCGGUCUGUCGCGUCGACUGUGAAAUCCCGCGGCUCAACUGCGGGUCUGCAGUCGAUACGGGCAGGCUAGAGUUCGGUAGGGGAGACUGGAAUUCCUGGUGUAGCGGUGAAAUGCGUAGAGAUGUGGAGGAACACCGAUGGCGAAGGCAGCCCCCUGGGAUAAGACUGACGCUCAUGUACGAAAGCGUGGGGAGCAAACAGG
rnacentral:rRNA from 1 species